rnacentral:rRNA from 2 species
AAUCCAUAGGUUAAUGAGGCGAACCGGGGGAACUGAAACAUCUAAGUACCCCGAGGAAAAGAAAUCAACCGAGAUUCCCCCAGUAGCGGCGAGCGAACGGGGAGGAGCCCAGAGCCUGAAUCAGCAUGUGUGUUAGUGGAAGCGUCUGGAAAGGCGCGCGAUACAGGGUGACAGCCCCGUACACAAAAGCGCAUGUGCUGUGAGCUCGAUGAGUAGGGCGGGACACGUGGUAUCCUGUCUGAAUAUGGGGGGACCAUCCUCCAAGGCUAAAUACUCCUGACUGACCGAUAGUGAACCAGUACCGUGAGGGAAAGGCGAAAAGAACCCCGGCGAGGGGAGUGAAAAAGAACCUGAAACCGUGUACGUACAAGCAGUGGGAGCCCCACCACCAAAGCAUUUGCUGUACCGCGUUGACGGAGCGAAGCGACGUCAAACCGAUAAAACAGCAGUGUAAAGUGAGCCGCAGGGCGCUUUGCGCGACAGCGCAAAGGCAGGCGGUUUCGCGUAGCGA